rnacentral:ncRNA from 1 species
CCGCCACAACGGCCUCCUGGCGUGGCGGGAAAACCCCAAUGGAGCA